rnacentral:rRNA from 1 species
UACGUAGGGUGCAAGCGUUGUCCGGAAUUACUGGGCGUAAAGCGUGCGCAGGCGGUAAGUUAAGUCUGAUGUGAAAGCCCCGGGCUCAACCUGGGAAUGGCAUUGGAAACUGGCUUGCUGGAGUGUGGCAGAGGGGGGUGGAAUUCCGCGUGUAGCAGUGAAAUGCGUAGAGAUGCGGAGGAACACCGAUGGCGAAGGCAGCCCCCUGGGCCAACACUGACGCUCAGGCACGAAAGCGUGGGGAGCAAACAGG